CAGCAGAGUGUAGUGAUCCUGAACGUGAGCCGAGUCCUCCGGAGAAAACGGAAGACUGGAAACAAACAACGGGUCACAGUGUGUUAAUGUGUGUGUGAACGUACCGCUGCGUCCUCCGUCCUUCCCAGAGCUCUGAGGACGACAGCAAGAGAACAAAAUGUCAGCGAAACACGUCACGUGCAGUAGUCCCGCCGGAAACACUGACUGAGGCGUCGUCUGUUACGAGGUUUUGGUAGUGGUGCUCCAGUGUGCAGGAGGUCUGCAGAGU